GCCUUCGUGGUGUAAUGGUCAGCACACUGAGCAGGUAAUUCAGAGGUCCGUGGUUCGAUCCCCGGCGAAGGAA
rfam:Stegodyphus mimosarum contig17672, whole genome shotgun sequence.